CUUUACCUUUUUAUGUAGUACUAAUCCUUUUACUAUUUUUUUUGUAACCAGGGAAGAGUAAUUACCUUUGACUUUAUUUAAAACAAAAGAGAAUAUUUGUAUGCAAAAAGAAAGUGCGCAGGGUGCUGGCAGUUCUCCCUAUUUAAGAAGGCAAAAGGAAGUCACAACAGACACAUGCUCCAAACAGAAUGGAAGAAUACUGAGAGAGAGAG
rnacentral:lncRNA from 1 species